rnacentral:rRNA from 1 species
UUGGAGAGUUUGAUCCUGGCUCAGGAUGAACGCUGGCGGCGUGCCUAACACAUGCAAGUCGAACGGACCGAUUCCGUCGCAGCGGACCGAGGAUUCGUCUGAGGUCCAAAGCAUUGGGAUAGGUUAGUGGCGCACGGGUGAGUAACACGUAGGUGACCUGCCCCGAAGAGGGGGAUAACUACUGGAAACGGUAGCUAAUACCUCAUGUGAUCGGUGAUUCGUUUCACCGAUCAAAGCUCCGGCGCUUUGGGAGGGGCCUGCGGCCGAUUAGCUAGUUGGUGGGGUAAUGGCUCACCAAGGCGAUAAUCGGUAGCUGGUCUGAGAGGACGAUCAGCCACACUGGGACUGAGACACGGCCCAGACUCCUACGGGAGGCAGCAGUGAGGAAUAUUGCGCAAUGGGCGAAAGCCUGACGCAGCAACGCCGCGUGGGCGAUGAAGGCCUU